GACGAACGCUGGCGGCGUGCUUAACACAUGCAAGUCGAACGGAAAGGCCCUGCUUUUGUGGGGUGCUCGAGUGGCGAACGGGUGAGUAACACGUGAGUAACCUGCCCUUGACUUUGGGAUAACUUCAGGAAACUGGGGCUAAUACCGGAUAGGAGCUCCUGCUGCAUGGUGGGGGUUGGAAAGUUUCGGCGGUUGGGGAUGGACUCGCGGCUUAUCAGCUUGUUGGUGGGGUAGUGGCUUACCAAGGCUUUGACGGGUAGCCGGCCUGAGAGGGUGACCGGCGACAUUGGGACUGAGAUACGGCCCAGACUCCUACGGGAGGCAGCAGUGGGGAAUAUUGCACAAUGGGCGGAAGCCUGAUGAAGCAACGCCGCGUGCGGGAUGACGGCCUUCGGGUUGUAAACCGCUUUCGCCUGUGACGAAGCGUGAGUGACGGUAAUGGGUAAAGAAGCACCGGCUAACUACGUG
rnacentral:rRNA from 1 species